rnacentral:lncRNA from 1 species
CAUAUCAUCUUGUGCGGGUAGAAGAACUUCGCAAUCCGAUAAUCGUGGAAUCUCGAGGUUCACUAUUGAGCCAUACAAGUAUCCAAUCUCUAUAGAUAUUCAUUUAGACUCAGAUUAGGAUGCUCUCUCUAUCUUCAAUCCAUCUACUCCUAGAUAGAUCUGCAAGCUUCUGAUCUCUGGUAAGAUUUCAAUCGAUACUUGAUCAUAGCCUCCUUAUUCCUUCACUCA